UACGGAGGGUGCGAGCGUUGUCCGGAAUCACUGGGCGUAAAGGGCGCGUAGGCGGCUCAUUAAGUUGCCGGUGAAAUCCCGGGGCUCAACUCCGGGAAGUCUGGUAAGACUGAUGGGCUCGAGCACGGUAGAGGCAGAUGGAAUUCCCGGUGUAGCGGUGGAAUGCGUAGAGAUCGGGAAGAACACCAGUGGCGAAGGCGGUCUGCUGGGCCGUUGCUGACGCUGAGGCGCGACAGCGUGGGGAGCAAACAGGAUUAGAAACCCCCGUAGUCC
rnacentral:rRNA from 1 species